ensembl:ncRNA Y23B4A.5 ncRNA
UGCUCAUUUUCAAUCAGUGCGAGCUGGCCUCCUUCCGUCGUCUACAUUUCUUAUUGAUUAUUCGGCAUUCUGUUAGGAAGCAUCAAUGUGUUGUGACCGUUGUUACGGUCAAUUUGCAAAUUGAAAA